rnacentral:rRNA from 1 species
UACGUAGGUGGCAAGCGUUGUCCGGAUUUAUUGGGUUUAAAGGGUGCGUAGGCGGUCCUUUAAGUCAGUGCUGAAAUACUCCAGCUUAACUGGAGGGGUGGCAUUGAUACUGGGGGACUUGAAUGAAGUCGAGGUAGGCGGAAUUGACGGUGUAGCGGUGAAAUGCUUAGAUAUCGUCAAGAACACCGAUAGUGAAGACAGCUUACUAGGCUUAUAUUGACGCUGAGGCACGAAAGCGUGGGGAUCAAACAGG